AAAAGCACCUCACCCUCUCACAAGUCUCUCCUUUGCCAUCUCCGACAUGUAAGUCACUGCAAACUCGUUUCCCCCUCCUCUGGACUCCGUAUAACUUUAUAGAGAGUCAGGUGAAGGUUUGGGGAUUUUAGAUGAAGAAUAUUUUCUCUGUGUUAGAUUCGAUGUUACAGGCUACGUGACUGGCGUUGGUCGUCCAGGGAUGGAGGGAUGGAACGAGUCCGAAGAGUAAGCUUCUUGUUGAUGUCGUAGCUGACGGUGUAACAGAGCCUGCUCAUCUCAAGAUAAGAGUUAAGAAGUAUGUUGCUGAGUCUAGAGUGGAGACUGAUUACGAUGCACAGUUCAAGAAUUUGGUCAAGUUAGUCACUAAGUUGCAGAAUCAGAUCCUGGAUAAGCUUGAUGGAGGACUUAAACCUCUUGCUUAUACGACCCCCACAAGGUUUAUCCCCUUAGUUACAAAGAGUUUUAUUUCUCAUAAGAUGUUCUUAGAUUGGCUAGGAGUAGGAACGAACAUAUGAAAUGCAGAGUCUAUUAGUAUUGUUUCAUAUAGUUCUCUUCCUGAAACUUUGUUAGUAUUGUUUCAUAUGUGUUCGUAUUGUGGGCAUAUAUCAAAAAGGCCUGUUUUAGAUAUUCCCGGAUUAGAGAUUUCUGGUUAAGGGAUUUUGAAGGAACUUGUUGGAAGAGGUGGAAAGAUAUUGAAUGGGAAAGGAUGGAGUGAUCACGGAUGUUUGCUCAGGCAAGAGUGGUCGGAGAGCAGCACGUUGAGUAACAGGUCAAACUACUGGCGGGCUAAUGGCGGUGAUACAUUUGAUGGAGAUGAAAAUUGUUUGGUGGAGAACUCGUAUUCCGGUGGUGUUGUUUUUGCUUGCAGAUUGCUGACUUCUCUUUUUAUGAGCAUUAGGUGGCUUUGGAGAAAGUUUUUAAGGUUUAGCUCAGUUGAUGAUUCGUCACUUGACAUUUGCAUUCAGGUUGAAUAAAAAUUUUAAAUUUUUUU